rnacentral:snoRNA from 12 species
AUCCUUUUGUAGUUCAUAAGCGUGAUGAUUGGGUUUUCACGCGCAUGCGUGAGAUGUGCCUCCCUCAAACCUUGUUACGACGUCGGCACAUUACCCGUCUGACG